rnacentral:rRNA from 1 species
AGUGAACGCUGGCGGUAGGCCUAACACAUGCAAGUCGAACGGCAGCACAGUAAGAGCUUGCUCUUACGGGUGGCGAGUGGCGGACGGGUGAGGAAUACAUCGGAAUCUACUUUUUCGUGGGGGAUAACGUAGGGAAACUUACGCUAAUACCGCAUACGACCUACGGGUGAAAGCAGGGGAUCUUCGGACCUUGCGCGAUUGAAUGAGCCGAUGUCGGAUUAGCUAGUUGGCGGGGUAAAGGCCCACCAAGGCGACGAUCCGUAGCUGGUCUGAGAGGAUGAUCGGCCACACUGGAACUGAGAAACGGUCCAGACUCCUACGGGAGGCAGCAGUGGGGAAUAUUGGACAAUGGGCGCAAGCCUGAUCCAGCCAUACCGCGUGGGUGAAGAAGGCCUUCGGGUUGUAAAGCCCUUUUGUUGGGAAAGAAAAGCAGCAGGGUAAUACCCCGCUGUUCUGACGGUACCCAAAGAAUAAGCACCGGCUAACUUCGU